rnacentral:misc_RNA from 1 species
UACGGAGGGUGCAAGCGUUAUCCGGAAUUACUGGGUUUAAAGGGUGCGUAGGCGGCGGCGUAAGUCAGGAGUGAAAUGUUAUCGCUAAACGAUAGAACUGCUUUUGAUACUGCGUUGCUUGAAUUAGGUUGAGGUUAGUGGAAUGUGGCAUGUAGCGGUGAAAUGCAUAGAUAUGCCAUAGAACACCAAUUGCGAAGGCAGCUAGCUAGACCUAUAUUGACGCUGAGGCACGAAAGCGUGGGGAGCAAACAGG